AGAGAAUGUCCGUUUCUCGGAGCGCAGCACAGCCUGUCCCAUCGAGAAGCCUCGGGUGAGGGGCCCGGUGGGCGCCCGGAGGCCGCUGGAGGGCUGUGGGAGGGACGGUGGCUCCCCACUCCCGUGGCGAAGGGCAGGCAAACCAGAAGCCUCUUUUGAGAGCCGUUUGGGAUUGAGACGACUUCCCAGAGACCGUGACAAAAGACAUCAUUCUACGCUGCACAAAAGCAGCCAGAGGCGGCCUCUCCCACGCUCCGGGAGCGAAGGGAAUGAUCUGGCUAGAGAGCAGCACUCCAGGGUGACUCCGUCCUGCUGUCUAACCGGCCUCCGGCAGAGUGGCAGAUCAUCUGACUCUCUGAACCACUCUGAACAUCAGUCUCUUCAUCUCUAAAUGAGGGUGCUGGCCGUGUGGAUCCGCAGGGGUAUCCUGAGGUUUGCCACGUACAAAAAGCUUAGGACAGUAAAUACUAAUAGGCUGGUGCAAAAUAAAUUGCGUUUUUGUCACUAAAAAAAA
rnacentral:lncRNA from 1 species